UGAGCGAGCCGUGGGGAGCAUGGCAGUAACCAGCCUUUUCCCACAGUCCCUACUCCAGUUCCUGCCUCCGAGUUCCUGCUCUGCUUGUGAGCCUGCCUUGGUUGUCCUCAGCGAUGGACCAUGAUCAGGGAUAUAUAGAGUGUCUCUAUGCUCUCACAAGAGGAGAACCUGUGAAACAGGGCAGAGUUCUCUCUAGGGCAACUAGAACCCUCAACUGUGGCCCUCGAUUUUAUAGCAGUAGUUUAGCCCUAGCAGCUGGGAAGCUCCUCUGUUUUAUUAAUAACCCUGGAUCGUGCUCACGGCACAUCAAGAACUGACUAUCUCAGACUUGACCUGAAAGAUCCCUGUGAGUCAGACAGCGAGAGCCUGGUCCUGACUCCUCCGUGCAGAAGCAGUUGUGAAACUUCUGGAAACCACAGUUCCUGUGUCCCCAUCAACUGCAGCACACACCCAGCAGGUCGGCCACUGAUGGUUCGUCUGCCCUGCAGUCAGCCUGAGAGCUAAGAAAGGGCUCUGCCUCGUCCAUCAAUCCUUACCCUGUGCCCAGAUCUGGCCUGCACACAGGGGUGCGCUAUACAUCUCUGUGGUGAGGAACUCAGCCUGUCAAUCCCCACCUGCAUCAGAGUAAGGAAGCUGCAAAGAAACUCUCUGCUAGGAGAGAGUUCAGCAACUCCACCUUGAUGUCAAGCUAACAUGCAAAACUGGCCCCGGGUCUGAGAUAUAAGAAAGACUUGGGUUUCGAACUUCAAAGAACAGCCAGGACUCCGGUGAGCAGGAUCCAUGGUUUCUUUGAAAGUCACUCUUAGGAACAAAUGAAGGAGAGAAGCUAAGUGGUGGCUGUCGAUCUGAGAAGUGCCAGGUUCCACCUGGGCACCUCACACACUGCAUCUCCGUGAGCUUUGAAGAAUGUGGGAAGCACCUGCCUUAUGGGGAUUGGAAGAGCAAAGGCUGACAGGUCUGCGGUGGUCCCGGGAUACAGGUCAGCUGUUCAGAAGUGUGCCCAACAUGUUAAAUGCUGGUUUCCUGGGCUCUCUGCCACUCUCAUCUCAGAGAUCUUGGGGCCUGAGUGUGAGAGACAAGUAACAGAAAGAUGAACGGAGAAGGACAAAUACAGUGGAUGCACUAUUUAUUUCCUGGGACCUUGCUUCUGUUGUACCUUGUUAAUCCUACGCUGUGGGUUGAAUUGAUGCUUUACAAGCUCACAAUAUACAGUUUUAUGAGUC
rnacentral:lncRNA from 1 species